GGGGCGGUAGCUCAGCCGGUCAGAGCAGAGGACUCAUAAUCCUUGGGUCGUGGGUUCGAGCCCCACCCGCCCCACCA
rnacentral:tRNA from 9 species